rnacentral:lncRNA from 1 species
GUGUGGGAAAGCAGUCUGCUGAUAAUUCAGUUUGAAGAAAACACGGCGUUCCUGCCUCUGGGGUGUGUGGUCUCCAGGCCCUCUCUCAGCUCCUGUGCCUGUGGCCGUGGCCUUGGUGGCACCCUUCCCCGGUGGCCUGCCCAGGGCUUCCCCCACCCAUGCAGUCUCCUACCCCCACUGCCCAGGGCCUCAGUAGCCCCCUGUUUGGGGCCUACACUCUCCCCACCUUCAAGUUCCAGCCUCGCCGUGAGAGUGUGGACUGGAGGCGCAUCAGUGCCCUGGAUGUGGACCGCGUGGCACGGGAGCUGGACGUGGCUACCCUGCAGGAGAACAUCGCUGGUGUCACUUUCUGCAACCUGGACCGGGAGGUGUGCGGCCGCUGUGGGCAGCCCGUGGACCCAGUGCUGCUCAAGGUGCUGCGGCUGGCGCAGCUCAGCAUUGAGUACCUGCUGCACUGCCAGGACUGCCUGAGCACCAGCGUGGCCCAGCUGGAGGCGCGGCUGCAGGCCAGCCUGGGCCAGCAGGAGCGUGGCCAGCAGGAGCUGGGCCGCCAGGCUGACGAGCUCAAGGGCGUGCGGGAGGAGAGCCGGCGGCGGCGCAAGAUGAUCAGUGCCCUGCAGCAGCUGCUCCUGCAGACGGGCGCCCACAGCUACCACACCUGCCACCUGUGUGACAAGACCUUCAUGAAUGCCACCUUUCUCCGGGGCCACAUCCAGCGCAGGCACGCAGGCGUGGUGGAAGGCGGAAAGCAGAGGAAGCAGGAGCAGCCAGUGGAGGAGGUGUUAGAAGAGCUACGGGCCAAACUGAAGUGGACCCAGGGGGAGCUGGAAGCCCAGAGGCAGGCGGAGAGGCAGCGGCAGCUCCAGGAAGCAGAGAUCAUUCGCCAAAGGGAAGCAGAAGCUAAGAAAGAAUUUGAUGAAUGGAAAGAAAAAGAGCGGGCGAAGCUAUAUGGGGAAAUAGACAAGCUCAAAAAAUUAUUUUGGGAUGAAUUUACAAGUGUUGCCAACCAGAACUCUACCUUAGAGGAGAAGCUGCAGGCACUGCAGUCCCACAAUAUGAUGAAGUCCAACCUGGGGUCCCUGCGGGAUGAGGAGCCCGAGGAGAGACUCAGGCAGGCUCAGGAGCUCUGGGCUCUGAAGGAGAAGAUGGAAAUUCAGAAAACAGAAUGGAGGAGGAAAAUGAAGGCACUGCAAGAGGAGCACGCAGCUCAGAAGAGAGAGCUGCGGGAGCAGAACGAGAGGCUCCAGGCUACCCUGUCUCAGGAUCAGAGGAAAGCAGCCGCCCAGACCCAGCGCCAGAUCCAUGCCCUCCGCGCCCAGCUCCAGGAACAAGCCAGGCUCAUUGCCUCCCAGGAGGAGAUGAUGCAGGCCAUGUCUCUCCAGAAGGUGGAGGGGAUCUGUGAAGGCCCGAAGGCUGUGGACACAGAUGAGGACUCUUCCGAGGAAGAGCUGGAGGACUCCCACAGUGGACAGCAGAAGGUGCUGGAAGCCCUGAGGCGAAACCCCACCUUGCUGAAGCAGUUCAGGCCAGUCCUGGAGGACACCCUGGAGGAAAAGCUGGAAAGCAUGGGGAUAAAGAGAGAUGCCAAGGGAAUUCCCGCUCAGACCCUCAGACACCUGGAAUCCAUCCUGCGAGCCCAGCGGGAGCAGAAGGCCAGGAGGUUUUCUGAGUUCCUGAGCCUGAGAGAGAAGCUCAUUAAGGAAGCCACCAGCAGAGUGAAGGACAGACAGAAGGACAGGGCCCCGAUGUCCCAGCCAGAGGGCGAGGUGCCAGGCAGACCCAACCUGAGCUCUUUGUGCAAAGGAAGUUUCCAAAGUGUGGUCCACAUAUCUCUGGGAGUCAAAAGCCAGCAGAGCCCACUGGUCACCAAAGAGGUCCAGCCAAAGGCCAGGACCCUGCAUGUGGCACAGCCAUCCAAGCCUGCAGAGCCCGCUGUGACAAGUUUCCAGAGCCGCAGCAGCCAUAGCCUGGGCCUGGCCCCGGGGCCCACCCCUACUCCUCGCUCCAGAGCACCUGGGCCCUCUGGCACCCCUUCUUCCCCAGGGCCUGGGCUGAGUACGCCCCCGUUCAGUUCUGAAGAGGACUCAGAGAGAGAUGCUGGGCCGCGUGCUUCCCUGCAGCCCCUGAGAGCUCUUUCAAGGGUGGGACCCCGGCCGCAGGAUGACUCAGACUGGUCUGACACCGAGACCUCGGAGGGGAGUGCCCAGGCCCCUGGCAAGGGCUCGGGCGGGCUGGCCUCCUCAGGAACGCUGGUGCAAUCGAUGGUCAGAAACCUCGAGAAGCAGUUGGAGGCUCCAGCCAAGAAGCCUGCUGGAGGGGUCAGUCUGUUCUCAGUGCCCAGUGCCGGGCCACAGAGAGCUGCUGUGCCAGGAGGAAAGCCCCAGCUUUCUGAGGAUGAGAGUGACUUGGAGAUCUCUUCCUUGGAAGAUCUCCCACAGGACCUAAACCAGAGAGAGAAACCAAAGCCCUUGUCUCGCUCAAAGCUCCCGGAGAAGUUUGGUGCCAGCUCUUGGAGCCCCAGUCAACCCAGGGUCCCUGGCUGGAGCCAAGAGGUCUUCUCCUUGGACAGAAGCAGAGUAGAAGACAGAUAUGAUUUCUCCCAUUCCCCCAUGAGAGCCCUGGCAGUGUCCCAUGGGUCCCAGGGCUGA